rnacentral:lncRNA from 1 species
UGCGGACGGAAUAAAAAAAAAAAAAAAAGUCAUACUGUAUAUGUCGUAAUGGUAGCAGAGAGACCUAAUUCGGAUGCUGUUAUAAAUAAUGAAUGGGAAGCGAAUUAUGGCUUGCCAAGUUUAGAGGGCGCACCGUUACAGUUAAGCGUAAGGUACUUUCUCUGUUGGACUGCAGUCGUUGAUGUUAGCCUACAAGGUCGUGGUGUGUAUGGAUCUGGGCGUGUCUCGUCCCAUCUUCCAAACUUCCACACCUGUCCUGUAUACGUUUUACAUCGACGGUUACGCAAAGUGGCGUAAGGGAAAUGACGGAAGCUGGUUGAAUGUUCGUCUUCCAGCAAGCUUCCGUCAGUGGUGACCUGCUGGGUCAUGGAGACAGUGGAAAGAUGCUCCCUCCGAGAUAUAGAUGAAAUUAAAAAAAAAUAUGGAGAUCUGAAAGAUGAAGAAAUAAUAAUUGUAA